GCCACCAGCAUAAAGAAAAGAGAAGCGGCUCCGUGCAAUCUCCGUCUCAACGAAGAAAAGGAGCGGCCGAAUCUCCAGCCCCACGAUCUCCCCACGCGCACCCCACCACCGACCCGUCCCCAAAAACCCUACGCCGCGCAAACCCUAGCCGCCGCCGCCGCCGCCCCAAUGGCCGGCCUCCUGCGGCUCGCCGGCGCCGCCAGAUCCUUCUCCCGCGCGCUGGCCCCGGCCGCGCCGCACCACCGCAGGCUCGCGGCAUCGGCGGCCGCCCUGGCGGAGGACGAUGCGUGCUGGACCGAGUGGGAGGAGGAGGAGGAGGAGGCGCGGCGGCAGCGCGCCCGCGCAUCGGCGCCCGCUGCGGAGUCUUGCCCGGCGGACGGCGGUCCCAGGGGCGUGCAGUGGGUGGUGAUGGGCCGCCCCGGCCCGCAGAAGCACGCCCACGCCGCGCGCCUCGCCGAGGUCCUCGCCGUGCCGUACAUCUCCAUGGGCACGCUCGUCAGGCAGGAGCUCAGCCACACAUCCUCGCUCUACAAGAAGGUCCGGCCUCGUGCUCGCUCCGAAUUCUCCGAUUCUCAUACGGGGUAUUCGAAUGCCUUUACUGCAUUUGGUUGCAAUCUGAGCUGCCAUCCCUUUCCCCAUCGAGCAAUUUUGCGGCCACGGGUCCUCCCCGCGUUACUAACCAUGAUCAUUUGAGUCGGAUCGGCGCCAGAAAUUCUGGAGAUUUUUCUCGCUUUGACUAAUUUUUGGCGAUAUCUCAAGGGGCUUCGUUAAUUUGGAACAUCACCACGAAUCCUUUGCCUAAUUGAUGAAAAGCCGCUCCAUUUCCCCACAGACAAAUUUUACGCUUCGUGCCCAAUUUCUUGGGCGCUUCUCAAAAUUUCUCGUGACUUAUGCACGGACUCAUGUGAUCUUUUUCCCCCAAGUUCUCCAAGGCCACAACUUUUCGCUGGACUAGCAAAGUUUUCCAACUUUUCCCCAUAUUUCCCACGAGUUAUUACACAAAUCAAAGAAAUUUUCUUGGCCACAAUUUCCUGGUCCUUAUUUAAAGGCUACCAUUCAAACAAUAUCACAUGAGUAUUUCCGUCCAUAUUUUUAUGCUUAAUAUACUGGACCGUAUGAUGCUGGGAGAGGAGUGUGGCGGCCAUGUCUUUCUCCGCGUCCUGCACUUGGCCCUGCAUUUGCUUAUGUUCACAUGGUGCUGUGGGGGCAAUUCGGGAAUUCCACAUGCGAGGGUUUUCAUAAGCAAGUUUGGAACAUUCAAUUCUGGCAUCUUGUGGAGGGCGGCCGUCUGCAUAUACAUGCUUCCAACUUUGCCCUGCAUUUGUCCGGCCCUCUUGUUCUACUUUUCUUGAACAGCUGGAGAGUAGUUGGUAGGGUUUCUUAAUCGUACACAAUGAGAACCAUAUCACAAAGGAGCCGGCUACGGCACGAUGGCAUGGAACGCACCGGCUGCUCUUCCUUCCACGUGAACCUGGCCCCUGUCAUGGACACGAUGCACGAUCGUGCCAGGGAAUCACGCGGCCAUGAGCUUGUCGCGCUGCAAGGCCGCUAAUGGAAUAUCCACUCAUUAUUUUUCUGUUUCAUAAGUGGACACUAUUGUAUAACUAUUGUACUACGAGUAGUAUGUUGAAAAUUACAGCAGUUGGUUGUGAUUUUGUGGGUAUUCGGUUGUGCUAAAUGGUUUUUGCAUUGCAUAUUGACAGAUUGCUAAUUCGGUGAAUGAAGGGAAGCUUGUGCCAGAGGAUAUCAUAUUUGGGUUGCUGACUAAGCGUCUCGAGGAGGGAUACUGCAAGGGUGAAACUGGAUUUAUCCUUGACGGAAUCCCACGUACCCGUAUGCAAGCUGAGAUUCUUGAUGAGAUCGUUGACAUCGACUUGGUUCUGAACUUCAAAUGUGCUGAUAACUGUUUCAUGAAGAAGCGAUCAGGAGGUGACAUAUGUUCCCACUGUGGGCAGCAUUUUGGUGUCAGCAGUCUGGUGUCUAGGGAGCGUAAUCUCUCCCUUGGAAGCUCUACAUGGCCUGCUCAGGCACAACAUGCUUCUGUUAUAGGCCUGGAAAACCCAAGGAUGGAGAAGCUGCGUGCUUAUGCUGAGCAGACCAAGCAGCUGGAAGAUUACUACAAGAAGCACAGGAAACUUGUGGAGUUGAAGACAUCCGCUCGCCCUGGUGAAACCUGGCAGGGGCUCGUGGCUGCCCUCCACCUCCAGCAUGUAGACCCAUCCCCAACACCACACAAACUCACUGUGUAAUUAUCAUCCAUUGAGUCUAAGGAUCUACAUUGUGAUCCUCACCUGCGACAGACGUAGUAUGUUUCUAUGUUUUGUGAGUUCUGGCUGAGGAGUCAGUCGGCUGUGGUGCUUUGGUCUUCGGUUAUAGAUAUAAUGUAAGGCUCUGGUCUUUAUUGUUAUAGAUAAAACGUAAGCGAUUUUGUAGACCCGCUUGCUUAUAUGUUUGUAACGGAGAGCUUUGAACUUGCAAGUGCAAGUGUGCGGUGUGCCAGGCUCCGCUGUGCUGUUGUUUUGAGUACCAGUUUUGAUCAAUAUAUAAGUUACCGUAAAUGUUGUGCGC
rnacentral:rRNA from 1 species